GCAAGUCGAGCGAUUCUCUUCGGAGAAGAGCGGCGGACGGGUGAGUAACGCGUGGGUAACCUGCCCUGUACACACGGAUAACAUACCGAAAGGUGUGCUAAUACGAGAUAAUAUACUUUUAUCGCAUGGUAGAAGUAUCAAAGCUUUUGCGGUACAGGAUGGACCCGCGUCUGAUUAGCUAGUUGGUAAGGUAACGGCUUACCAAGGCGACGAUCAGUAGCCGACCUGAGAGGGUGAUCGGCCACAUUGGAACUGAGACACGGUCCAAACUCCUACGGGAGGCAGCAGUGGGGAAUAUUGCACAAUGGGCGAAAGCCUGAUGCAGCAACGCCGCGUGAGCGAUGAAGGCCUUCGGGUCGUAAAGCUCUGUCCUCAAGGAAGAUAAUGACGGUACUUGAGGAGGAAGCCCCGGCUAACUACGUGCCAGCAGCCGCGGUAAUACGUAGGGGGCUAGCGUUAUCCGGAAUUACUGGGCGUAAAGGGUGCGUAGGUGGUUUCUUAAGUCAGAGGUGAAAGGCUACGGCUCAACCGUAGUAAGCCUUUGAAACUGGGAAACUUGAGUGCAGGAGAGGAGAGUGGAAUUCCUAGUGUAGCGGUGAAAUGCGUAGAUAUUAGGAGGAACACCAGUUGCGAAGGCGGCUCUCUGGACUGUAACGGACACUGAG
rnacentral:rRNA from 1 species